GUGCCAGCAGCCGCGGUAAUACAGAGGGUGCGAGCGUUAAUCGGAUUUACUGGGCGUAAAGCGUGCGUAGGCGGCUUUUUAAGUCGGAUGUGAAAUCCCUGAGCUUAACUUAGGAAUUGCAUUCGAUACUGGGAGGCUAGAGUAUGGGAGAGGAUGGUAGAAUUCCAGGUGUAGCGGUGAAAUGCGUAGAGAUCUGGAGGAAUACCGAUGGCGAUGCAGCCAUCUGGCCUNAUACUGACGCUGAGGUACGAAAGCAUGGGAGCAAACAGGAUUAGAUACCCUGUAGCC
rnacentral:rRNA from 1 species